AGUAUUUUGACUAUACAAAGGUAUUGAAAUAAGACUUUAAUUGAGUGCUAAGAGAAUGGAAUUUCAUAAAAUUUCUUUUUUAAUUUUAAAAAUUGAAAUUAAUUUUAUAUGUGAAGAAACAAUAAUAAAAAUUAAGGACAAGAAGACCCUAAGAAUUUUAAAAAUUUCAGUAAAAUGCUGUAUUUUAUUGAAAUUUUUUAAUUGGGGCGAUUAUUAAAUAUUAAAAACUUUAAUUUUUUUAAAAAAGAACCAAUAAUAUUGGUUAUUUGAAAAAAUACUCUAGGGAUAACAGCGUAAUAAUUUUUGAUAGUUCUUAUAGACAAAAUAGUUUGCGACCUCGAUGUUGGAUUAGGAUUCUUUUUUAAUGAAGAAGUUAAAAAAAGAAGUUUGUUCAACUUUUAAAAUCCU
rnacentral:rRNA from 1 species